rnacentral:rRNA from 1 species
CAAUUGGCAGGCGUGCCUAUACUGCAAGUCGAACGCUUUGUGGUUCACUGAUUUGAAGAGCUUGCUCAGAUAUGACGAUGGACAUUGCAAAGAGUGGCGAACGGGUGAGUAACACGUGGGAAACCUACCUCUUAGCAGGGGAUAACAUUUGGAAACAGAUGCUAAUACCGUAUAACAAUAGCAACCGCAUGGUUGCUACUUAAAAGAUGGUUCUGCUAUCACUAAGAGAUGGUCCCGCGGUGCAUUAGUUAGUUGGUGAGGUAAUGGCUCACCAAGACGAUGAUGCAUAGCCGAGUUGAGAGACUGAUCGGCCACAAUGGGACUGAGACACGGCCCAUACUCCUACGGGAGGCAGCAGUAGGGAAUCUUCCACAAUGGGCGAAAGCCUGAUGGAGCAACGCCGCGUGUGUGAUGAAGGGUUUCGGCUCGUAAAACACUGUUGUAAGAGAAGAAUGACAUUGAGAGUAACUGUUCAAUGUGUGACGGUAUCUUACCAGAAAGGAACGGCUAAAUACGUGCCAGCAGCCGCGGUAAUACGUAUGUUCCAAGCGUUAUCCGGAUUUAUUGGGCGUAAAGCGAGCGCAGACGGUUAUUUAAGUCUGAAGUGAAAGCCCUCAGCUCAACUGAGGAAUUGCUUUGGAAACUGGAUGACUUGAGUGCAGUAGAGGAAAGUGGAACUCCAUGUGUAGCGGUGAAAUGCGUAGAUAUAUGGAAGAACACCAGUGGCGAAGGCGGCUUUCUGGACUGUAACUGACGUUGAGGCUCGAAAGUGUGGGUAGCAAACAGGAUUAGAUACCCUGGUAGUCCACACCGUAAACGAUGAGUGCUAGGUGUUUGAGGGUUUCCGCCCUUAAGUGCCGCAGCUAACGCAUUAAGCACUCCGCCUGGGGGAGUACGACCGCGAGGUUGAAACUCAAAGGAAUUGACGGGGACCCGCACAAGCGGUGGAGCAUGUGGUUUAAUUCGAAGCAACGCGAAGAACCUUACCGGGUCUUGACCUCCCUUGACAACUCCAGAAGAUGGAGCGUUCCCUUCGGGGACAAGGUGACA